AGCGAACGCUGGCGGCAGGCCUAACACAUGCAAGUCGAACGAACCUUUCGGGGUUAGUGGCGGACGGGUGAGUAACACGUGGGAACGUGCCUUUAGGUUCGGAAUAACUCAGGGAAACUUGUGCUAAUACCGAAUGUGCCCUUCGGGGGAAAGAUUUAUCGCCUUUAGAGCGGCCCGCGUCUGAUUAGCUAGUUGGUUGAGGUAAUGGCUCACCAAGGCGACGAUCAGUAGCUGGUCUGAGAGGAUGAUCAGCCACAUUGGGACUGAGACACGGCCCAAACUCCUACGGGAGGCAGCAGUGGGGAAUCUUGCGCAAUGGGCGAAAGCCUGACGCAGCCAUGCCGCGUGAAUGAUGAAGGUCUUAGGAUUGUAAAAUUCUUUCACCGGGGACGAUAAUGAUGGUACCCGGAGAAGAAGCCCCGGCUAACUUCGUG
rnacentral:rRNA from 1 species